AUUGAACGCUGGCGGCAUGCCUUACACAUGCAAGUCGAACGGUAACGGGCCUUCGGGUGCCGACGAGUGGCGAACGGGGGAGUAAUACAUCGGAACGUGCCCGAUCGUGGGGGAUAACGAGGCGAAAGCUUUGCUAAUACCGCAUACGAUCUACGGAUGAAAGCAGGGGACCGCAAGGCCUUGCGCGGACGGAGCGGCCGAUGGCAGAUUAGGUAGUUGGUGGGAUAAAAGCUUACCAAGCCGACGAUCUGUAGCUGGUCUGAGAGGAUGAUCAGCCACACUGGGACUGAGACACGGCCCAGACUCCUACGGGAGGCAGCAGUGGGGAAUUUUGGACAAAGGGCGCAAGCCUGAUCCAGCCAUGCCGCGUGCAGGAUGAAGGCCUUCGGGUUGUAAACUGCUUUUGUACGGAACGAAAAGCCUUCUUUUAAUACAGGAGGGUCAUGACGGUACCGUAAGAAUAAGCACCGGCUAACUACGUG
rnacentral:rRNA from 1 species